CAUAUUCCUAAAAGCCUUGCAUAUAUUUCAUCUCCAUAUAUUUCAUUCCGUGGAUUUAAGGGUGAGAGAGCAACUCCCAAUCUCUCGUUCACGCGUUUCUCUCUCCUUCUCCGUGCUUCUCCUCUCCUUCCCGCGCGAGCGCCGAAAUUUCUGUUGGGAGCAUGCAUGCGGGUCAUCGUGAUCUCUCUCUGUGCACAUGAAAGGAGAAAAAACGGGAAUUUCAGUUGAUAGUUUAACAGUAGGUCCCACUUUUAAUUUUUCGGAAUUAAAUUUAGGCUAUCUCUUGGAGGAAAAAGUUUUUUCACUUCCUAUUUUUAUUUUAGGAAACCCCAAUAUCAUAUUUUAGAAAUAGAUUAUUGCUAAUUUGUUGGUGAUGCUCUUACCUUCCGGACUUCAAUCCUUCUUUUUUCUCCUAUUUUUAUGCAACUGUUUCGCCAGAGAAAAAAUUGAAACAACAUAAUUUAAUUAUGUUCUGUUUUUUCAAGUAGUUCUCUUUAAAUUCCAAUUUGUGUUAUUUGAUUGGUACUGAGAAGUGAGAAGCAUUGCCAUAGAGAUGUGAAAAAAACUACCAAAAAUAUUUGAAGCGGGUAAUUUUGCUAUAAUACAACAUUACAACCCCUUAAUUCAUCACUAGAAUUAUUGUCACACGUCUAGAUUUUUUCUUUGCCAAAUAGUUUUGGCACCAAAUGAACAAUCCAGUAACAUACGCACCACUGAUGAUAUAUUUUGUUAUAGUCGAGGAACUCCAAUACGUCGGGCAUAAUUGAUGGGCUGUCUUACACCCCACUGAUGUGACUGCUAGUGCACUUCAAUGAAUCAAUUAUAAAUAAGUUCGUAAAGCUGUCUCAAGAAAUAUUUAUGACCAGCGGAUGUUGAAAACAAUCCAGACACUUAAACUAUAUGUAAAUAUAAACAAUGAGACGGUAUUCUACAGAUAUUCAGGGUGAGUUGUCUCUUUAGCUAUAAUAUUUUGAAGUAGUGUCGAAUAAUGAGCCUAGCUCAUUUUCAAAAGAGAAUAAUAUAUCCUUACCAUGAAUGUCUACUCUAUAUUACAAAUCGACUCAAAAGUUUUAAUUAAACACAUGUUUUGAUUACCUCUAUUUUCUCUUUGUCCUUCCGAAAGACACCAACUAUGAGGGUGCCAAUGUCGAUAGUGAACUAAGCAUUAAAGUUAUGUUGUAUGAUGGUCUUUACAUGCACGGCUACGUUGAGGCAGGACCCAUAUUUCAAGGAAGCAUAGAAGAAAGCCUUGGAGCCUAUGGUCGGAUUGGGUAUUCAUGUUUAAUUUUAAAGUAAAUUCCCUAUGUACCCUUGAAAACUCACUCAAUCCUUUUCAUAUCCCUAAAAUUUAUCCGAUCCCUUCUAUACCCUUGAAAUUUCAACUCGAUCCCUUCCAUGCCCCUACUGUUAUAUUUUCCUUCAUUUCACUAUUAUGUUUGGUUGCAAAUAUCUUUUUUCCCUUGAUGCUUUAGGUUUGAACAUAAGCUUGAAAAAUGAUUUAUGAAACUAAUGAGAGUAAAUAAUUGGUGCAGAAAUUUUUGAUAUAAAUUUUGAAGAUAAAACAAAUGUAAUAAAUUAAAAUUUUUAUUUGAAAUUCUAAUAGGACAAUGGAUAUUUUUGAUCUGGAGCAUUCAUAAAAAAAUUAUUGUGAGCAUUGGUAGUCCUAUCUUUGUAAGAAUGAUUAUCAUUUUUAUGACUUUCUUUUAAAAAAUAAAUACAUAUUUUUUAUUUCUUUAUCUAAAAAUAAAUUUUGUGAUAAAUAACACAUCACACAACAAACUCAUUACUAUAAUAGUCUGAUGCGGCAAACGUUUAUAUUUUUAAUAAUGUAAUUCAUGAAUUUCUAUGUUCAUCCAAAGGUAAAAUGGUUAUUUUUAUAAAAAAUUAGACGGCCAACUAAUGGUCAUCUGAAGGGAGAGGUAUGGAAGAGAUCAAAAUCAAAUUUUAGAGGUAUAGGAGGAAGUAAGCAGGGACGUAGAAGGGAUUAGCUGAAAUUUCAGAGGUAUAGAAGGGAUUUUCUCUUAAUUUUAGCGGUGUUAACCUAUUAAUAGGUAGAAACAGGAUUUUUAAAAUAUUUAUAUAUGAAUUUGGAAAUAAACACUUAGAUAAGUACUGGAGAUAUAUUUUUUAUGUAUUAAUAAUAUAUUAUGACUGUUUUCUUGGUAUUGAUACAAUUUCAUAUAUUAAAUCAGUUACAUCUAUUAAAUUGGCAAACAUUUUUUAAAACAAUGAUAAUAAUUCGUGGUAGCAAUAUACAAAUUUAUAUAUAACCGGGACAAAGUGAUUUUUGUCUGAAUCUGGGAGACAUUCUAUCAUUUAGGAUAUUAAAGUUUGUGCUCUAUUUCACCGCGGACAUAUUUUUUAUUAUAAGGUAAUUUAUGGUGACUAUGGUGAGGUAUGACUUCUUUCAAUACUUUCUUAAAAUAAUGAAUAAGAUGCCACGCGUUCGUGCGGGCUUAUCUUUUUAGUUUUUAGAUAAUAGUAACAUGGAACAGUCGGAGUUAAUUGAGUUAUUUUAGCUCUAGGCUUCAGCAAUUCCGAAAAUCGCAAAAAUCCAUGGUGUAGUGUCAGUACCGUGCAUUUGGCUGUAUAUAAUCGCAGCCGUACGGACGCUUGAGUUUUUUUACACCUUUUUCAACUACACUCGUAUUAUUUUGAGAAUUUAUAAAUUCAGGGGGCUAAAAACACAGAAGAAACAUCGUAGAAAAUACAAUAUUGAAGACAAACCGUAGAAAGAGAUUUGUUAUCGAUGUCCAACCGAAACCUACGACCCUCCACGGGCUAAGUUGUACGCUAGUCGUACACACUAUGCUAGAGUUGUCUUAUGGUUACAACAUGUGUGCCUCGGUAUUUAACAAAAGACCUAGACAUAGUUUGGCUCUAACUGUAUCCUACGCAUAUUAAAAUUCAAAAUCUUAAACUUAUACACAUAUUCCACACAAACUCUCAUAUAUAGUCUACCAUAGUUGAAGUUAUUCCACACAAACUCUCACAUAUAGUCUACCAUAGUUGAAGUGAUGGGUAAUAAGUUUUAAAGAUAAU
rnacentral:sRNA from 1 species